GAUGAACGCUGGCGGCGUGCCUAAUACAUGCAAGUCGAACGCACAGCGAAAGGUGCUUGCACCUUUCAAGUGAGUGGCGAACGGGUGAGUAACACGUGGACAACCUGCCUCAAGGCUGGGGAUAACAUUUGGAAACAGAUGCUAAUACCGAAUAAAACUCAGUGUCGCAUGACACAAAGUUAAAAGGCGCUUUGGCGUCACCUAGAGAUGGAUCCGCGGUGCAUUAGUUAGUUGGUGGGGUAAAGGCCUACCAAGACAAUGAUGCAUAGCCGAGUUGAGAGACUGAUCAGCACCAUUGGGACUGGGACACGGCCCAAACUCCUACGGGAGGCUGCAGUAGGGAAUCUUCCACAAUGGGCGAAAGCCUGAUGGAGCAACGCCGCGUGUGUGAUGAAGGCUUUCGGGUCGUAAAGCACUGUUGUAUGGGAAGAACAGCUAGAAUAGGGAAUGAUUUCAGUUUGACGGUACCAUACCAGAAAGGGACGGCUAAAUACGUGCCAGCCGCCGCCGUAA
rnacentral:rRNA from 1 species